AUACGUAGGUGGCAAGCGUUGUCCGGAAUUAUUGGGCGUAAAGCGCGCGCAGGCGGCUUCUUAAGUCUGAUGUGAAAUCUUGCGGCUCAACCGCAAACGGUCAUUGGAAACUGGGAAGCUUGAGUACAGAAGAGGAGAGUAGAAUUCCACGUGUAGCGGUGAAAUGCGUAGAUAUGUGGAGGAAUACCAGUGGCGAAGGCGGCUCUCUGGUCUGUAACUGACGCUGAGGUGCGAAAGCGUGAGGAGCAAACAGGAUUAGAUACCCUGGUAGUCCACGCCGUAAACGAUGAAUGCUAGGUGUUAGGGGGGUCCAACCCCUUAGUGCUGAAGUUAACACAUUAAGCAUUCCGCCUGGGGAGUACGACCGCAAGGUUGAA
rnacentral:rRNA from 1 species